UGUGAUUCCAGGACGACUUCCUGUAAACACACUGAGAGAUUUGUGUGCUUUGAGGUUCAGCUUGAUUCAACAUCAUUUCCCACUGCUUUAGGACUUUGUUGCUGCUGGGAACGGAGCGGUAGGGGAGAGAGACAUAGAGAGAGAGACGGAGAGAGAGACAGACGGAGGAAAAAGGGCUUCCCACUAACAUGUACAUCAAAAGCCUUUUGGUUCUCUCUAUCGCUUUAUUUUUAUUUGGUGUCAGCACUUCACAGUGAGCGCGGUAUGGAAAUGCGUUUGGCUGCCUGGAAAGCUGUCAGGAAACACACACAACUCAGUUGCACGGAGUUGCUAACAUCAAAGAAGUCGUGUAAGGGCCGCGGAGAGCACACGGGCGACGGAGAACCAGACAUCCUGAAAGGACAUUUCUGGAUUUCUGGAUUCCUUUGUGUUCAUGGAGUGAGGAGGGACACGAGCAGCAGGUAUCGGUGGUGGGCUCAGACGCACUGAAGGAUAUCAUAGAGAGAGUGACAUUGGACAGCCUGGGUCUUCAUGGCCACGCUUGACUGGAUCCUCCAAAGGGCCUCUCCUCUGUCCACUUCACUUUCUGUCCCCUCCGCUGAGGGCCUCAGGGGCCCCGGGGACCUCCAGGGAAGGGGUGGACGGAUGGACACAGACAUUUGACAGGAGAGGAAUAACUGUGUGGCUGGGUGACAGGCCAUCUAUCCAUGCAGACUCAUGCCGUUUCCUUCAGGAGUGCUGCCCCACUAAUAGGAACAUGCCCUGGAACUCAAGCUGGAAAAUACAUCUCAUUCCCGCCCGCUUGUUUUUUAGGCCAUCGAGGAUCCUCAGUCAUCAAUAUGAAUCUGAGUCGGAGAGGGUUUUUCCCUUCUUUAUCCGUUACUGUGAGCGCCGGCAGCCUGAUGGAUCUCUGCCAUCACUUCUGAAUGAUGUUUGCCUUUCAUUUCUAUUUCUUCAUCUCUCUUUCUCGGCUCUGUCUCCAUCCUUUUUCUGCCACUGCUUGGGCUAUUCUGAGCCGCAAAGAAAGACAUCUUUGAAAUCGUCCAUGGAAAUGUGCAGUUUGGGGGUCACUCAGCUGCAGAUGAAAUGACUGAAUUACACAGGCCCGCUGUCAGCCGUGAAUCAGAUCAGCCAGUCAACUCAUAUACAUGAUUUUACAAGUCACUGAAGAAUAUCACACAUAGAGUACAUUAUCAAAUACUGCUUUUUGAUAUUGCAUGCAAUAAUAACAAUAAGUUACAUAUUAAUUAAAAGUUUUUAUAAGAGACACCAAAAAUGCAAAAAUGACACCAAAAUAUUUUUGUUUAAGUGUCCAAUAAACAAUAUGGAGGUUUUAUAUUAAAAAUCUAUUAUUUUGAAAUAAAAUAAAUAAUUAUUAGACUACCAAUACACAAUAUCCAUUGUGAAUAAUAAUAAUAAUAAUAAUAAUAGCAUGAUUAUUAUUAACAUUUAUUAUUAAUAAAUAAGCAUAAAUGGUUGUUAAAAAAAGUGUGCGAGAGAGAGAGA
ensembl:lncRNA